rnacentral:lncRNA from 1 species
UCCGCUCUGACUCUGGGAACCACUGCUGUAAUGGGGUGGACGGGGUGGCCCGCCCGCUUCUUCUUGUUUUUUUUUAAUUUUUUUUAAUGUUUAUUUUAUUUUUGACAGAGAGAGACAGAGUAUGAGCAGGGGAGGGGCAGAGAGAGAGGGAGACACAGAAUCGGAAGCAGGCUCCAGGCUCCGAGCUGUCAGCACAGAGCCCGACGCUGGGCUCAAACUCACGGACCGCGAGAUCGUGACCUGAGCCGAAGUCGGACACUCAACGGACUGAGCCAUCCAGGCGCCCCAAUCCCCUCAUUACACUCUGGCAGCUCUGCCCAAGUCAUUGGGAGGACCUGGGGCUCACAUUCCAGCAACACAGGGACACGUUGGUACACAGACAGGAAGGCCUGUCGGGAGAGGAGGGGACUGAAAAGGCAAAAGACGAGGGGGAUGAUUGAGCAAGGCCCAGUCCCAGUGAAGGAGGAGCCUUGAAAAAUCAGACUGAGGUGAGAGUCUGUUGUGUUGAAGCAGCACGCACAUCUGACAGUCAGACAAAGCCGGGUGGAGCUCUUGGCCUAGCAUAGAGCUAGCAUCUCCCAAACCACCCCCAUAUCCGAACCUUGGCAUCUCAGCGCAUGGACCUGGAGCCCCAAGCAAUGUUAUGAGAAGGAUGUAGGACCCUGAGGAAAAGAUAAGAGGAUAAGUGUGGCUGGCUUACCCAGUCGCCGUGGCCCUGAGCCAAUUUACUCUGCAACGGCCCCGAAAGAGGAACUGAAGGCAAAGAGAGAGAGAGGAACACACACACCCAGAAGACGGCCAAACCCAUACAGCAGGCUUGAGUCGACUGUUUGUGGCACUUACCUAUAAGGAAGACUUAGAUGAGAAAGUAAGAACAAGAUGCUCAGGCCUUCAAAUAGAACUUCCAGCCCCCAGCCCUUUCAACUUCCCUCCGUUCCACUGCAUCGAGGCAGUGGAAGGGCAAAAGAAAGCCUCCCAAGGGCGCCUGGCUGGCUCUGUCAGUAGAGCGUGCAACUCUUGAUCUCAGGGUUGUGGGUUGGAGCCCCACAUGGGGUGUCGUGAUUCCUUUAAAAAAUAAUAACAAUAAAUAAACUUGAAUGCAAGAAAGCCUCCCA